GAAAGAAUUUAUUAUCUUCGCGGAACUCGAUGAAAGUAGACGUGUGCUGCGUUGUGUCGUCGUUGUAGUCGCGCUGAAAUACCGCAUAGAGUUUUAUGUAGGUGCAGAAACUAGUUAAAUAUCCCGGGUCGUACGGUUUGAGAAAGGGGUUUUAAAGUUGUGAGUGAAGUCGAGCUAAGAUUCAAAACGUAUUUCGAUUGUUACUACCCGUAGAUAAAAAAAUAGCAAGCCUCAAGCGCAAAGUGCGUGUGACUGGUGCGUUGAUAAAACAUAAAAGCAUAGCAAAAAAAGGCAAAUCGCAAAGGGUGCAUGCAACAAGAGUAAGAAAAAAAAAGGUGGGAAAUCGUGGGGUGAAGAAGCCAUUUCGCAUCGGUGUGUCAGAGUGGUGUUUAGGAACGGGAAAGAAGACACGGUUUGGCUGUGGGGUAUUAAACGGAGAGGUUCGUGGCUUCUACUCCGUGGAGUUUUUGUUCUCUGCGUUUCCUUUUCCUCGAAAAACUGGACAGUCCAGCUCAAGCGCGCGCGAGUGUGUGUGUGUGUGUGUGUUUGUAGGCUGCUGUGUUUUCUGCCCCAUAGGUGAACGCGAACGUACGUGUGCUGCAAACAUAAACCCAGAAACGGAGCGGGGGGAUGUAUGAGCAGGAAUUAAUACAAAAAAGAAAAGAACACGUUCGCUAUAUGUAGCGGGCUUAGGUCUUCUUACCGUAUGAAUGAAAAAUCAAAACCAGUUCGCGCCGAGCCAGUGCUGAGCGUGUGUGCUUUUGUGUGUAUGCGUGCGUGCAUGUUUACAAAGGAAAAGUGAAAAUUCGUUUGCAGCGCGCGAGUGUGGCAUUGCUUUCUGCGUUUCGCGUUCUCGCUCGCACUCUUCCUGUGAAUGGUGCAGUUUUCCUCCCGAAGCCUGCUUAUCGUGUGUUGUGCAUAAAUCGUGUAACGGCGAGUGUGAUUCACGGGGCAUUAAGAGAAAAAUAAUACGCACAAAGGGCAAUCGACACCGAGCCGCACGAAAGUGGGGGAAAAAAAACGUAGGAAGGAAACUCACUAUUCCCUUCGUGAUUAUUAUGCACUGUUUUAGGGGUGAGCAUCGAGCCACAAUAGCUUAGGCUGUUGAACGUGCAAGAACGGCCAGUAAAAGAACAACAACGAGCCACUGCACAGUGCUGUGGGGUGUGGAUCUGUUGCUGCUUACCUCAUCAUCGUCAUCAAAAAGGUAGUCACUGCGUCACCUAAAAACCUACAAUCGUGUGUGCGCUGCUGUCAUCGUGUCCACGUCCACCAAAUAUUACUCGGUACGCGAAACUUCACCCAGCAAGCAGUAGUCCGGAAGUUUGUUUCCCAGUACACGCCGACACACACGCUCCGAGUGUUGGCCGAGUGACCUAUAGCGGUAGUCGUAGGGAAGUAGCCGUAAGUGGUAAACCAGAGGACAAUCUGUAGUGUUGGUAAUAGCGAACGCAGAACCCAGUAGCAACGAGGGAACUUAAUUAGUGCGUGCAAUGCCUGGCGAGUCGACCAAAGCGGCGGACCCGGCCGCUGCCAACAGUCCCAGCACACCGAAAAAGAAGCCCACCAACUCAAAGGCGGCUCUAGCGAAGGUUACACUGCUCGAUGGUUCGAUUCUGGAGGUGACCAUUGAUCGCAAAUGUCGUGGACGCGACCUGCUGAACUCGGUCUGUGCCGGUUUGAACAUACUGGAGAAAGAUUACUUCGGUUUGACGUACCACACAGCAAAUGAUCCGCGCGCCUGGCUCGACCUAGAGCGGCCGGUUACGAAGUUCUUCCGCUCCGAUCCGUGGGAUCUUGCGUUUGAGGUGAAAUUUUAUCCACCGGAACCUGCCCAGCUGCAGGAGGACAUCACCCGGUACCAUCUGUGUCUGCAGGUGCGCAAUGAUAUCCUGGAAGGGCGGCUUCCCUGCUCGUUCGUAACACAUGCCCUGCUCGGUUCGUAUCUGGUACAGUCAGAGCUCGGCGAUUACGAUCCGGCAGAGAUGAAGGAUCGGGCGUAUCUGAAGGAGUUUAAGAUCGCACCCAACCAAACACCCGAACUGUUGGAUAAGGUUAUCGAUCUUCACAAGACACACAAGAGUCAGACACCGGCAGAAGCUGAGCUACAUUAUCUGGAAAAUGCAAAAAAGCUCGCAAUGUACGGUGUCGAUUUGCACCCGGCAAAAGAUUCCGAGGGUGUCGACAUUAUGCUUGGUGUUUGUGCAUCCGGUUUGCUCGUGUACAGAGAUAAACUUCGUAUCAAUCGAUUUGCCUGGCCGAAGAUUCUAAAAAUUUCUUACAAACGAAACAACUUCUACAUUAAAAUCCGUCCCGGUGAAUUCGAACAGUACGAGUCAACGAUCGGCUUUAAGCUGGAGAACCAUCGCGCUGCUAAAAAGCUGUGGAAGGCAUGCGUCGAACAUCACACCUUCUUCCGGCUGAUGACACCUGAACCGCAGCAAAAAUCUGGUCUCUUCCCCAGACUUGGCUCGAAGUACCGGUACUCCGGACGCACGCAUUAUGAGACGCGGAAAACACCUGUAGAGCGUCCGGCGCCAGAUUUCAAGCGUAGCUUAACCGGGAAGAGACUUUCCAGCCGUAGUAUGGAUGCGUUAGCACAGCAAGAAAAGGAACGUGCCGCUGCCAAGGACGCGAACAAGGAUGCGAACAAACGGCACACGAUGUCCCAUCCUCCGGAUCACAUCCCUGAUUUGGAUUCGCCGACGCGUGGUUCCCGCAGCCCGAUCAAGAAGGACAAAAAGGAACGCCUGAAGCGCGAGUCCAGCACUGGCACAGCGUCCGCCUCAUCGCAGAGCUCCCUCGAGGGAGAGUACGAAACCACAUCGCCAAACGUUGUUCCAGCACAGAAACCGGCUGGAGGAGUUGCUGUAUUGCCGGGCGCCGGGAAGAAGGACAAACCAGAACAAGUCUCUCAGAAAGAGGAAGGUCUGAAUGGAAACAAUGGACAAGCCGAGGCGCUGAAUUCUUCCGCAGAAGAAACAACUUCACCAUCGGGUAAACGCAAGGGAUUCCUGUUUUCAUCCGGUCGUAAGUCGCCGAAGGAUAAGAAAGAAAGCGGUAAGGAGCAACCGGCUAAGGUGAUGGCCGCAGCAAACGGUGAUGGCACCGCGGGUAAAAAGGACCCCUCAAAGGAAGCUGUUCAAGCGCGAUCGCAAGACGCGACGAACAAGCAGAUCACACCGGAGAAGCCCGGAUUUACCAAACCGUACGAAUAUUCGGAAAGCGAACAAGAUCCUGCUGCACAUAAGAAGAAUGUAAAGACUCGUGGCUUCCGGUACGAUGAAGCUCCGUUGCGUCAGAACGAGGAAAAUGAACCACAGCUGAGUCCGAACUCGCAAAGUCGCCGUGCGACCGGACUAGCCUUUAACUAUGCACCGGGUGAAGAUCAGAAGGUGCGCGAAUCGGUCGAAAAGCGUAAAGCACCAGGUUCUCCGGUAGCAGUCGCUGGCAAAACCGACCAACUGUCGCCAAAAUCGGCUGCCCGAGGUUUGCCUGGAGAGACUGAUGCUGAGAAGGGAGUACGCACGAGCGCUCGAUCAUACUCGCCCAACAAGGGGCGACAGGGUGUUGAUCCGCUAGCGUCCGGUGCCGGUACGUUCCGUCCCUUGGAUGACACAAGCAAUGCCUUUAUUCAAGGUGAACAGGCUGGUGCUGCUGCGGCCGCCGCUGCUGCCGCAGCUGCAGCUGCUGCAGAACCGGUAAAGAAGAAGGUAAAAAUUAUGGUGAUCAUUUCCAAGUUUGAUCCUAAAACGAAGAAAGUUGAUACGGCGCAGGGAGUGGUCGAACAUUCGACCGGUGUGCUGGAUACAAAGACGGGUCAGAUUGAGAGUAAAUACGGACUUAUCGAUCCCAAGGCUGGCACGGUGGUCAACUUUAAUGCUCGCACCGGUCAGAAUGAAACGUUCCAGGGCCAAACGGAUCCGAAAACGGGACAGUUGCACAUUGUUGGUGGGGUUGUAGACUCAACAAGCGGUAAAGUCGACGAUACGCUUGGGCAAGCAAUAAUGGUCGUACCGGAUGAGGAUUCGGUGGUGGAGAUUACAACUAUCACAUCGAAGGUUGAUCCCAACACCGGCAAAAUUGACACCAUUAAUGGUGAGAUUGAAAAGAGUCGCGCUAUUCUUAAUCAUCGUACCGGCAUUCUGAGCACCAAGUACGGUGACAUUAACCCACGCACGGGCGAACUGCGCGCUAUUGAUCCAAAAACAGGCAAACCUUCGCCGGCAGCAGCCGCCGUACGUGCAGUGCAGGUUGAUCGUAACAAUGGCCAAAUAACAGUCGUCGGUGUAACUGAUCCGAAGACGAAUAAGGUAGACAACAGUCAGGCGCACCUGAUCGCGAUCGGUAAUCAGGUCGAUCCAGUGGUGGAAGUAACGUCGGUGCUUGGUAAGCUUGACAAGAAGGGUCUGGUCGAUCCGAAGACGGUUACGAUUGACAAGAGCACGGGUCAGCUAGACACGAAGGAUGGCAAGAUCAACACUAAAUACGGCCAGUUGGAUCUGGUGAAGCAAACCGUAACGUUUGUCGAUCCGAAGACGGGUAAGACGGAAACGAAGGAAAUCAAGGUGGAUCCGGUUACCGGGCAGGUGUUGUUGAAGAAUCAGCUAAACCCCAAGACGGGCAAAUCGGACAAAGAUUACGGACGUAUCGUGUCGAUUCGCAUCGUGCAUAACCGCGUCGAUCCGGUUACGGGUAAGCAUGUACCGGCGGCACCGGUCGAGGACAAGGAUGUGCGCGUGGAUGCCAAAACGAACCAGGUAUGGUUGCCGGAUGGCGGUAAGGACCCGAAGACGGGCGAAACGAUCUACACCUCCAGCCAGGUCGAUCCGAAAACGGGCUUCGUUAUCACGAUCUACGGAUAUCUUAACCCGAAGACGAACGAAAUCGAACGACAGUCGAAAUUGGACCCGAACCUCACGAAGAUUGACCCAUCCACGGGCCAGAUUUAUGCCGCUACCGGACAGGUGGAUGAAAGUACGGGUGAACCAUUGUUCGCAGCGACACAAAUCAACGAAGAGGACGGUGAAAUCUACACUAAGGUGGGCCGUAUCGAUCCGAAAUCGGGCAGACUAGUCAUCAUCAAGAUCUUCAUUAUCACGAAGAAGGACGAACGAGGCAAACCGGAGGAGCUCGAUGUGAGUGCGGUCGAUCUGGAUCCGGAGACGGGACACAUCCGGAAUGUGGCACCGAAAACACUCUACCUGUACAAGAUGCGUGAUCCGAUCACGGGCGAAACAUACAACGUCGAUCCGAACGAUCCACGUAUUGCCGGUGCCCGCACCACGGUAACACAGACGAUGACACUGAGCGGUGAGAUCGAUCCGGUAACUGGACGCAUUAAAUCCGAGUGGGGCCACAUCGAUCCGAACACGGGUGAUAUUGAUCCAGCGACAGCAAUUCGGGAUCCAGUUACCGGUAAACUCAUCCUCAACUAUGCCGACAUCGAGCCGAGCCACUUCGGCAAGAACGUAACCGUAACGAAGGAAACCGUCCCCAUUACCCGCGAACAGUUCUACGAAGGUAUUAAACACAUGGGCAAGAAGGCAACGCGCCGGGACUCGGAAAGCUCGGACGAUGAUAUGACCGCACAGUACGGCAAGGAAAGUGUGAAGGAGAUAAACUCGGGUACGGCCGUGGGUAGUAAGCAGAAUGCUGCCGGCACACCGACCGUUGUGAAGACGACCACCAAACAGGUGAUCACCAAGAAUGAGGACGGCGUUACGCAUAAUGUUGAAGAGGAGGUGCAGAAUCUAGGCACCGGCCAGAUCGUGUACUCUACGCAGGAGCACAAGGCCGAUGCCCCGACCGGUACGGAUGCAGGUAAAUUUGUGACGGCGACCGCUGUUACCACCCGUACUGCCACGACCCACGAAGAUCUGGGCACGAAUGCAAAAACGCAACAGCUCGAGGAGAAAACGGUGGCCACGACCACUACCCAGCACGGUGAGCGACAGGAGCAGCGUGUCAUUACGCAGGAAGUGAAAACAACUGCCACCGUGACGAGUGGCGAUCAGUAUGCGCGUCGUGACAGUGUCUCAUCGUCGAGUUCCGGCGAUUCCGGAACACCGAUCGAUGGCCCCUACGGAGACGAUUCGCUGUCGGAAGUGAUUUACAACAAGUCAUACACGGGAGCUGAUAAUGUUGCCGGUGCCUCACAGAUUCCGGAAGGACCGAACGUGGAACAUCGACGCGUGGUGCUGGACGAUCUUGCCGAAGGUGGCACCACUACCCACGGUGAAAUUGUAUCGUCCCAGACGGUAUCUAGCAAAACGCGAACCGUUGAAACAAUUACCUACAAAACGGAACGGGACGGUGUAGUGGAGACACGCGUCGAACAGAAGAUCACCAUCCAAUCCGAUGGCGAUCCGAUCGAUCAUGACAAGGCCCUUGCUGAGGCAAUUCAGGUUGCUUCACUUAAAAUCAAUAUCAACCCUUUCGAUCGCCGGGAAGCAGCCCGUAGAUAUCUGCUGCACACAAGCCAAUCACCCCUGACCGAGUUUCAUUCGACGAAACCCGGCACAACCUCCAAAGGCCGUCCGGAUGGGAAGUGAAGCAAUAUGAAUGGGAUGAAAGGGAUGGACGGGUGUGUAUGUUUGUGUGCUUGUGUGUGAAUAAUUAGGAUGGCACACGGUUACGUGUCGAGCAACGGUUCAACCCAACCGCCAGAAUCAAACAAUGUGAUGGAAGCAACCGCCAUGAAUCCGGAUAUGACGGUGGAGAAGAUUGAAAUUCAGCAGCAAACGCAAUAAAAAAAGGCAAGCAGUUCAUCACAAUCAUCUCACCCUACGGUAUGCUGAGGAGAGCAGCAAAGGAUCACGCUAAGCGUACCAAAACGCUCAGCAAAGAACACGACCCAGCUGCGUACAGCAUCACUAGCUAUAGCGCUCAUUCGACGAGUAAACGAAAGGAAUGACAACCGAAACCCGCGAUUAUACUGGCAUUUGAAACGUGUUAACGAUGUGGAGUGCCAUUAGCCCGAAAAAGGUGGGAAAAGGAGGUGGAAAAAAGGUGCACCUUUCAAGGUGAAAAACACACGAUCGAGUUUCCCGCGUUUUCCCCCACAAAACGUUCUAAAGUGUUUGCUUAAUGUGUUACAAGCUUUGUGCAAAAGAGUCAACCCGAUCGGUGGUUAACAUUUAUUAAAAAAAAAAAACACCGGCGAAUGGAAAUUAGUUUAACAUUGAAAAAUUAUUAAACAAACAAACAAAGUGCAAACGCUAGAGCGAUCCUAUAUCUCUCUCUCACACUCUUCCCUUCUCUCUAUCUCUUUAUCGGCCCUAGGGAACCGAGAAUGUUGUGUAGAGUCGACACGUGUUUGUCACGACAGAUAAGAAAAUUAUUCAUAUAUUUAUUUAUUGCUUUGAGCGAAGCAAACAUGCGUGUGCAAAUGAGCGAUUUGCAUAUUUAGAGUAAAGAUGAAUUAUAAACGGUACGGAGGAAAAGAAGAAGAAGAAGAAGAAAAAACAAACAAAAGGAAAAUAGCAAGCAAACAAUCAAAUUCGCUUUAAAAACAAAAUCACCAAUGGCUUGGACGGCAAACGGACAAAACAAAAGGAAACCUUUAUAUAUAUACAUACAAGCAAGCACACACAUUAACAGCACGUAAUGAUUAAGCGACGAAAGAAUCUUUGAUGUUACGAUGUAUUACAAUUUUUCAGGGCAUACAAAGUAUAUGAUAAUUUGCAUUUUGAGAAGAGAAAUAUGAAAGGAAUGGAAGCAAAGAUCGGUAACAGACCCGAAAACGAUUAUUUACAGUUGUUGUUAUCGUGUCUUAAAUGGUGACAAAAUAAACAACCGUUACAAACGAUACAAACAGCAUUGAAGGCAGUGUGUUAGGCGCCCGAGUAUGCAUAUAGAGCCGGGUGUAUUUAAAGUAUCAUUUUACGAUUUAGAAAAAACGCAAGUAAGCAGAACCAUUUGUACUAUUGCAUUGAAUGUAUAAGCCUGAUGUGUACCGAAAGAGUGCGUGCUUUGUUUUUAUGUUCUUUGCGCCGUCUACAUUUUAUGUCUGUUAAUCCAUUUUUUUGUACGCCGUUUCCAUUUUGCAGAGAACAUACUUUUGGAGACAUUUUUACCGUGGUUAUUAGACCCGCGCAGAGAGAGAAGCUUUACUUUACGAAAGCGUACCAUGCAAGCGUUAAUAGAGUGAGUCCGGUCCGGUAAGCAACGGUUGGUACUGCGUAACGGAGGGAAAAAUGUAAACCAAAAUACCCAUCAGUGUUCAAGCAGCUAAAAGGGUGUCAUAGUAAACAAAAGGAAAAAAAGAAGAAGAAACACACACACACCCCCUCCUUACGCUAGUCCAGGCCAGUCAAAAAGGAAACAUUUGAACUAAUUUAUUGUGUACAAAAAGAAGAGUUAACCCUUGAGUGUAAACAAUUCGGAAAAAACACAACACAGUCGAUAAAUUGUAACACCUGAACUAGUUAAACAAAAGUGAAGCACGAGUUGCAAACAGCAGUCACCUGGUCAUUGCUGCAGCAUAAAACCGAAUGAACACAAAAUGGUUGCCUUAUUUUAAUUACUCUCCUUAGGCACAACUAGAAGAGCAAGCGAAUCAUUACCAUCAACUACUUUUACUACACCCUGACGAGAAUAUCGCGUUAUCGCUACAGAAAGGAUCGUGCUUCGUUGCUUUCCUUUUUGCCAUUCGGAUUGAUUCAUUCAUAGCGCCGUUCAGAGGUGGUUUUCUUAUAGCAGGUACGUUUGUUUUUUGUUUGUUAAGUUCUGUAUUUUUUUUUUUGCGUAAACAUUCCACUCUUUCUUGGAACAAAAAAGCUUCUCAUAUCCGGCAUUGGCCGCGCUCUGUAUUACCGUUUAGUUUUGUCUGUAUUGUCUAAGUACGCCAUGUUGUUUCCUUCUCUUAAUUUAUUUGUUUUGAAUUCGUUCAUCUUGUGCUUUCUAUUCGUAUCUAUUUACUUGCUGUAAAGCUCUGUGAUCGGUUACCGAUCUUCACAUUUUUAGCCAAGCUAAGCGAAGGAAUGUUUAUGUGUUUUCUUACGUUUACGAUCGUUCAGCAAUAUCCCGUUUUAGAUGUAUGUUAACGUACACGUUGUAAGACAGUGGGUCUUAAAGCGCAAUCAUAACCUCAACCACAGGCAAUCAGAGGUUUCAACGGACAUCAUACACAUCCCGAAUGGGCGGGAACAAAGGGUACACAUCACCUAGAAUCGGUACAGCGGCUGUUAGGAAUGUGUCCGCCGGAGUAUCGUAAUAUAUAUUUGCUGUUUGUUUCAGUUUAUAUUUUUAAUUUAAUUUGCAUACGUUAAGGACAUGAUUUUCGUGUUUUUAUCUUAUCGAAAUAUACUUUAAAACUUGUUAAGUCUAAUUGUCCAAUUAUAA